rnacentral:rRNA from 1 species
GACGAACGCUGGCGGCGUGCUUAACACAUGCAAGUCGAACGGUAAGGCCCUGCUUGCAGGGUACUCGAGUGGCGAACGGGUGAGUAACACGUGGGUGAUCUGCCCUGCACUUCGGGAUAAGCCUUGGAAACGGCGUCUAAUACCGGAUAUGAGCCAUGUUUAGUGUGAUGGUUGGUAAGUUUUUUCCGUGUUGUAUGAGCUCGCGGCCUAUCAUCUUGUUGGUGGGGUAAUGGGCUACCAAGGCGGCGGCGGGUAGGCGGCCUGAGAGGGUGGACGGCCAAAUUGGGAAUGAGAACCGGCCCAGAAUCCUAAGGGGGGGAGGCGGGGGGAAUAUUGCAACAUGGGCGCAAGCCCGAUGCAGCGAAGCCGCGGGGGGGAUGACGGGCUUCGGGUUGGAAACUCCUUUCGCGAGGGACGAAGCUGAUUGUGACGGUACCUAGAGAAGAAGCACCGGCUAACUACGUG